GAGUGACAGGGAAGAUUCCUGCUUAGCGUCCAAGGGAGGACAGCACUGGGAUAGGAGCACGAGGCUGAGCCUGGCUCUGCUCAGACCUUGCCCACACCGGCAAAUGGUGUCAAGGGCUGAGAGUCUCUCCAUGACCCGAGACAAGUGUUGGAGCCCAUCCCUACCCAGCCCCAAAACCAGUGCCCAGAGGCCACACACAAGCAGGGAGACCGGAGACAGCCCAGAGGGGCAGAGCUUCCCCCUCCUGCCCACCUGCCACCCCCUCAGCUAGCACCCUGCUGCAAAAGAAUGUGCAGAGCCCCUGGGGCUGUGGCCCCCUCCUCACCAGGGGAGCGGUGAAGAAGGGAGUC